rnacentral:rRNA from 1 species
AGUGAACGCUGGCGGUAGGCCUAACACAUGCAAGUCGAACGGCAGCACAGUAAGAGCUUGCUCUUACGGGUGGCGAGUGGCGGACGGGUGAGGAAUACAUCGGAAUCUACUUUUUCGUGGGGGAUAACGUAGGGAAACUUACGCUAAUACCGCAUACGACCUACGGGUGAAAGCAGGGGAUCUUCGGACCUUGCGCGAUUGAAUGAGCCGAUGUCGGAUUAGCUAGUUGGUGGGGUAAAGGCCCACCAAGGCGACGAUCCGUAGCUGGUGUGAGAGGAAGAUCAGCCACACUGGCACUGAGACACGGUCCAGACUCCUACGGGAGGCAGCAGUGGGGAAUAUUGGACAAUGGGCGCAAGCCUGAUCCAGCCAUACCGCGUGGGUGAAGAAGGCCUUCGGGUUGUAAAGCCCUUUUGUUGGGAAAGAAAAGCAGCAGGUUAAUACCCCGCUGUUCUGACGGUACCCAAAGAAUAAGCACCGGCUAACUUCGUG